ACCAGACUCCUACGGGAGGCAGCAGUGGGGAAUAUUGCACAAUGGGGGAAACCCUGAUGCAGCGACGCCGCGUGAGCGAUGAAGUAUUUCGGUAUGUAAAGCUCUAUCAGCAGGGAAGAAAAUGACGGUACCUGACUAAGAAGCCCCGGCUAACUACGUGCCAGCAGCCGCGGUAAUACGUAGGGGGCAAGCGUUAUCCGGAUUUACUGGGUGUAAAGGGAGCGUAGACGGUUCUGCAAGCCAGAUGUGAAAGCCCGGGGCCCAACCCCGGGACUGCCCUUGGAACUGCAUGGCUGGAGUGCGGGAGGGGCAGGCGGAAUUCCUGGUGUAGCGGUGAAAUGCGUAGAUAUUAGGAGGAACACCAGUGGCGAAGGCGGCUUACUGGACGAUGACUGACGCUGAGGCUCGAAAGCGUGGGGAGCAAACAGGAUUAGAUACCCUAGUAU
rnacentral:rRNA from 1 species